AUCUCAAAUCAGGUAGGACUACCCGCUGAACUUAAGCAUAUCAAUUAAGCGGAGGAA
rnacentral:rRNA from 1 species